rnacentral:misc_RNA from 1 species
CUGUGGUAUUGAUCCCUGAUUGCUUCUUCAUUGAUUUCAUUGAUGCAAUGUGCAGAGAUUAUGUGGAAGAGAAGAAAGAAUUGAUCCGAGCUAUUCCUAAAGACAGAAAGCUUUUGGACGUUCCCAAGAUCACCCAGCCAACGCUGAUAAUCUGGGGAGAAAAUGAUCGAAUUUUUCCAUUGGAACUGGGUCACAGAUUAAAAAGGCAUCUGUGGGACAAUGCCCAUCUGGCGGUCAUCAAGAAUGCAGGGCACGCCGUCAAUGUAGAGAGGCCAAAGGAGUACAUCAAGCUUUUGAAAUCGUUCCUGAUUGAUAGGCAACUUCCUCCAGAGACAGCUCAGCUUUANNNNAACAUUUGAUUAAACAGAAGUUAGAGUUGGUGAGGUGAGAGGUUCCUGAAAACGAUUUAACUUCUGUGGUAGACUAAUGGGAUUCAGAACAAAAAAUACAACGC